ensembl:lncRNA
GUCUUUGGAUACAGCGUCUCUCUCAUUUCUUUUCCUUCCUUCUCGCUCUUUCUUCCACACCCUCUAAUGUCUCAUGCAUGGUCCCCAUCUUGGGUCUCUCUCUGUGGCAUCCUAAGUUUUCCAGAUAAAACGUCCACUCACCAAUUCCCUCUUCAGUUGAUCUGUCUGCAGUUUAGCUAGUCACUCCCAUCUCAGUCUCUCUCUGCCUCUCCACACUCUCUCCACCAGCCUCUUACUUGCCUUUUCUCCUCAGCUCCUCCAGAGAAGCUGGGCUUUCUGCCCUGAGGCCUUUGUAUGUGCUGUUAGCUCUGCCUGGCAGAUCGCUGUCACCCAGCCUCCUUCUGGCUGCUGCUUCCUGUUCAUUCCUUGUUCUCAGCGACCUUACCCUGAGCCUCUGGGAAACUAGCUGGAUGAGAUGCUUCCUACUUCACUUGUUCAAGUCCCCUCUGAUUUCAUUUAGGUGACACUCCUCUGCCAUUCAUGGGCAUUUUUUCUCAAAAUUUUAUUUUCCUCUUGGUGGGAAAUUCCUGAAGGGCUACGCCUACCCCGUCUUCCCAGCACCUGGCUCAGAGAUGCGCACCUAGCAGCCUCUUCAAAGGAGGAUGACAUUUAUGGAUACAAGACUGAAAUCAGCCAACAGAGUCCGGCUGAAGGGUCACAUGCAGCUCCAUGAUGUCACCUGUGUCAUCUCCCUCGAGCCAAUAUCCUGACCUUUCCCAUCCAGGAGGCAAGGCUCCUGAGCGCCAGAGUCAUGACCUACACAAGUCCACCCUCCACGCUGAGACCUCUGAGCUGCUGGCAGUCUUCAUUCUCUCUACACACACAUCAGCAUAUUUUUGCCAUUUAAACACCAACUGAGACCGGCCAUGGGAGCUGUGUUCCAGUCCCGGGGGAGGAAGUCCGACUGGUGCACCCCCAUCCAGUCUACCUGUGGUGGGGUGACUGAGCACUAAGCCCACUCUCCACUCCGUCAGUAUUUCUGCCCAUCCCUGCUUCUAAGAUCGCCAUUCAACGGUCACCGUGCUGAGGCAGGAUCUGGAGAAGCUGUCACCCAGCUGGCUUCUACUGUUUUCUUUUUCCUACUGGCUUUUGUUUCCAGUUUUUGGGGUCCUCAGCUCUGGGUAAAGUCCUGCUUAACACCAAAUGGGAGCCUGUGUGCUCCAGGAAGCGGAGAGAGGACUGAGGAAGGGGACCCUCAUGUCAUCUUUGAUUCCUCUGGACCACAUGUGCUGAGGGCAUCCUGGAAGUGACAAGAAGUGGAUGGGAAAAUGGUGCUCUCUUGGCUCAGUGCUUCUCAAUCACGCCUGAAAAUUCCUCUGAAAAGGAUUCCUCUGAAAAUUCUGGCUGGCUUUGGUGGAGCUGGGUUCAGGCAUCACAGAAUUUUAGUACCACCCUGGUGAUUCUAGUGUGUAUCCAGGAUUGGGAACGUCUAUCUUGGGCUUCCUUGGUGGCUCAGUAGUAAGGAAUCUGCCUGCUAAUGCAGGAGACACGGGUUGACAUGGGUUUGAUCCUUGGGUGGGGAAGAUCCCCUGGAGAAGGAAAGGCAAUCCACUCCAGGAUUCUUGCCUAAAAAACCUCAUGGACAGAAAAGCCUGGUGGGCUACAGUCCAUGGUGUCGCAGAGUUGGACACAACUUAGCGGCUGAACAGCAACAUCUUGGCUCUGGUUUGUGGUUGUGAAAGAGAGUUAGAAAUGCCAGGGUGAGCUCCAAGGGUCAGCUCCCAGAGAAAAUGGCUUGUCUUUUUGUCUGUCUCUUGC